UUGCGGUUAAAUGUCAGGUUUGCUUUAUAACGUCGCGUGGUACAGGACGAUCGAAAGUACAGCUAUAUAGUGGCAUAAAAUACUAAGGUGGCAUGGCUAGUUGUUGCUUAGCUUGCAUGUAAUAGUACACAGAAUGCAAGAAUCAAAGAGGCAUAUAUAUAUAUAUACAUUACACCAUAGCAGAAACUUUACUUCAAUAUACGUCUCAAAAUGGAACGUCCGCUUGGGCCCGCUAAGAAUUCCGGACGACCUUGACGAUGAGAUAGAAUCUCACCUUUGCAGUCACGACACAGAAAAUCCCUCUAUAUAGAUUUAUUCAAAUUUAAAUUCACAAUUUUUAAAGAUCCAACUAAUAAUGUGUCUCAAUCUCAAAUGAUUAUAAUAGACAAUUAUUGAUAAGAAAAAUUAACAUCUGGUUUAUAAUAAAAAUUAAAUAUAUGUAUUCAUUGUAUUUUCUAGUUAAUAGAGAAUAAACGAUUGGUUGCAAUUACCA